GUACACGCUGUGACUAGCAUAUCAAUAAGCGGAGGAAAAGAAACUAACAAGGAUUCCCCUAGUAACGGCGAGUGAAGCGGGAAGAGCUCAAAUUUGAAAUCUUAAAGGGUUUCCCUUUACGAAUUGUAGUUUAAAGAAGUGUUUUCUGUUGAGGUUUUGGUAAAAGUUCUUUGGAAUAGGACAUCAUAGAGGGUGAGAAUCCCGUAUUUGACCUUUACUUUCAACUUUGUGAUACACUUUCAAAGAGUCGGAUUGUUUGGGAAUGCAGUCCAAAAUGGGUGGUAAAUUUCAUCUAAAGCUAAAUAUUGGCGAGAGACCGAUAGCGAACAAGUACCGUGAGGGAAAGAUGAAAAGAACUUUGAAAAGAGAGUUAAACAGUACGUGAAACUGUCAAAAGGGAAGCGUUUGACACCAGUGUUGUUUUCCUGAAAAUCAAUUAAAGAACUGUUUAUGCUAAGUUGUUUAGACUUUAUCAGCUAACUGUUUAGUUUUGAGCUUUUCUUUAAUGCACUUUUCAGUUAACAAGUCAACAUCAAUUUCUUUUGCUGUAAAAAAGCUUGAGGAAGGUGGCUUGAGAUUCGUCUUAAGUGUUUAUAGCCUCUUGCCUAUGCAGUCGGAGAGAUUGAGGUCUGCAGCGUAGAUCCUUCGGGGCUAAAUGCAUUUGUGCUAAGUUAUAGCAUUUUAUAGACAACUUGUUGACUAUGAUUUGUCUUGUAGCUUACUCGCUUAUGUUAUUUUACCUACGCUUAGGAUGUUGAAGAUGUAGCACAUCAU
rnacentral:rRNA from 1 species